CAGGAACAGCAGCUUUUCAGUCUGUGAUCAGACAGACCCUGGAGAGGGGCCAUGGUGGGACUUUGGGGCUGGAGAAUGAACAGUGAAGACGGACACAGAGAUUGGGAACGGAGGAGACAACAGAGGGAAAAGAGCAAAGAAGGCGAAAGAAGAUGGUCUACCAAUUUCAGUCUCGAAUGUAAAAGCACUAAAGUCUUCAGAUUGCUACAAAAUCUUCUGAUUCCUGGAAGACAAACAUGCGUAGAUAAUGGGAUAAGGAUUUGCGCAUUUGAUUUUUGAAGGGCCGAUUGGCUGAGGUAACAAAAGUUGCUCAGUAGAAUUGUAGCAAGUUAGCAGUGAAGGACAGUAAGAAACAAAAAAAUCAGAAUCAGGUUUAAUAUCACCAGAAUAUGUUGUGAAAUUUGUUAACUUUGUGGCAGCAGUACAAUGUAAUACAUGAUAAUAGAGAGAUAAAGAAAACUGUGAAUUACAGUAAAUGCAAACAAGAGAAAACCUACAGAUGCUGGAAAUCCAAGCACACAUACAAAAUGCUGGAGGAACUCAGUAGGCCAGGCAGCUUCUAUGGAAAAAAGUACAGAUGAUGCUUUGGACUGAAACCCUUCAGCAGGACUGUACAUAUAUGUAUAUGUAUACCUGUGUGUGUAUUAAAUAGUUAAA